ensembl:lncRNA
GGAUGAUCAGUCUUGGUGAGCAGACAGUUAACUCAAAUGAUGGGGUAGCCUCAGUUCCUAAGACGCGGGCAAGGAAGUAACGGCAAUGGCACACAGCAAGUAAGGAGCAAAAGUCAGGACUCAAACAAUGUCUCUUAUCUCCAGUCCAGCUUUCUCAUGGACCCUGCUGCUGAAGCUGGACCCCUCCACUGUCUUUCCCUAUGAAGACAGGGACCAGCACUUACCACCACCACCUACGAGCCACCAGCUGCUCCUUCCUGAGAAGGUAGAUCCGUAAUAAAUAAUGACAGCAGGGCUUGUCCGUGUGUAAUGAACAGACAGCUCACUGAGUGUGUCAGCGCGUGAAGCUCUGAGCGCCAGUCAUGACCCCUAUUAGCCCCCUCUGCAAGCUGGACCAAGAAAUGCUUAGCUUGCUUAUUUCCCAGGGCUGUGGGAGGACAGCCAAGAGAAGAGUGUCCUAUUAGCUGGAAAACACUGUGGAGAAGCCAAAUAUCAUCACUGUCACUGUUGUAGAUGGAACAGACUCAAAAAUUAACUAACUUGUCCAAUCUCAUACAGCCAGAAAAGUGCAGAGCAGGAAGUAAAAUCCAUGAAGUCCAACUAGAAGCCAGUUCAGCCGACUCCCGCAGAGUCCCCUUGCCACCCUGCCUAUACUGCCGGCCUUCUUCUGAUUAUGCUUGGAUUAGAUGUCCCUACAGGCAUCGUUGUUAACAACCGGAUAAUUCUCCCUGGCUUAUAUUUCUAGGCUGUCAUUUUCCAAGAGGCUUUUAGACAUGAAAGCUAAUGGGAUUACCCCAUCCAUCUAUUGUUCUGAGCCAAGCCUUCUCACCUAAGCAAGCACUUUUCUGGUGGAUGUUGAAUCUCUUUCUUCCUAUAUUUGAAUUCCUUCAAAUUGGCUGGGCUUCUGGUAAGCAUGACAACACUAGCAACCUGAUGUCGGGGAGGGCUGCUGGAAGCCACCUUGGAUAAUGGUGAAGAAGGUGAAACCACGUGUCCACCUCCACACUAGCCUCUGAGCUUGAGAUGUUCACCAGAAGCCUCACUGUUCAACCUUGCCUCUUAAUUUGUGAAAUAAUACAUGCACACAGAUCCACUCAGCCUUACACACCCCUGCUCUGCCACUCAGUACAGACAUGCUGCCUGAAGUUCCUGACUUCCUUGGCACCUUUCCAUAGUGGUACCUUUCCAUCCUUCCUGGUUAAGCAAAUUUGGGAAAGAAUCAUCUCAGUUGCCAGUCUGGUUUAUAAUUAUCCCAACAGGCCUCACUUUCCAUUUAUGAACUUGGCAAAAGAAAUCACCAAGGAAAAACCUGCCCUACUAAUGACUCAGCUGACGUCACUCAUCAUUGCCUUACUGCUUUAAACACAUUCACCUGAUAAGCCUAUGGUGACUAAUAAAUUCAAAGAACUUAUACCCAUUCUCUUUCUGUUGGGACUAGUUAUUUAUCAUUGCUCCUAAGUAUUUGAAAUCUGCUUUCUUUGUUGAAGUGCUCAUUUAGCUGUCCUACUCCCAGGAUGGAAGAUUUUCAGCAUUCAGAUUGAGGGUUCAAUGAAUUUCACUUGCCUUAGGGUCAAUAUU